UAAAAGUGAACACCGGCAGUUACUGGGGAGCUCUUAGAAACCAAAUCUAACAACAGGACAGAGCCAGGGGACCCUCCUAUUUGACUCAACUUAAAAGGUACCCAGAUUCAAGGAAAAGGAAGGAAAGUACCAGGACCCCUCCCUCACCCAAUGUGCUGAGAGUAGCUCUAAGAAGCUAUGCUGGUGGUCAGAAUCUCUGUUGUUGGGAUCUUGGGAGAGGACUCUAGCAGUGAGGGAGUGCCUUGCUACUACAGCUGGGAGAAGGAUCAGGGCUCUGACCACAGCCAUGAAGGAAGCAGCUGGAGGAGAGCUGUGGACAGGAGGACAGCUAGGUCCCAGCCAGCACUCUCCAUCUUGGCCAACACAGCUUCAUGAGGUUUUGGCCUCAGGGCACAUCCAGCUCCACAGAUAAGCUCUAUAACCAGCUUAAUCUAGUCUAUCAAUAUGGCAGAUAAAACGCCUUCAGAGGGCUGGGAAGCUCAAUCUCCAAUAACCCUUCCCCGAGGACUGUGCUGAGAGUAGCUAUAAGAAUCCAGCUGACUGGGAUCCCAGGGCAAAAGCUGACAGAAUAACUUGAUAACAGGGUUGGAAGUACAGGACCCUUAACCUUCAGCCUGAAUACUUUCACCUACACCUUCAGCUUCUGUUGCCAAAUGGGGAAGAUCUGACCUCAGGGCUCAUUAAUACACCAUCAGCCUAAUCUAGUCAGUCAGCAGAACAGAGAAGAAGCCCCUACAGGACAGAAUAGCCCAAAUAAACAGAGGAGCAAGAUUAUAGUCAAUGAUGGGGGGAAAGAAGGAAAAAAUAAAAGCAAACAACAAAAAAAGGAAGAAGAAAUUACAGUUGACAGCUUUCUAUCCAGGUAAUGAAUAAAGAGCAAAUGGAACAGAGGAGAAUCAAAGAAUGCCAAGCAAAAACACAGGAAUUCCAGCAAAGUGGACACAGGCUUUGGAAGAACUCAAAACAAUUAAGAGAGGCUAAAGACAAUUGGGAAAAGGACUUAAAAAGCAAAAUAAGUCAUUUGGAAACAGAGGCACAUGAACUAAAAUAAGAAAAUAGUGUCUUGAAAGCCAGAAUUGACCAGCUUGAAAAUGAGGCAAAGAAAGUAGAAGAUGACCUACCAAAAAAUCAGACCAGAAAGAGAACAAACAAAAAACAGGGAUGAAAUUAAGUAUUAAAAAUUAGAAUCCAACAACUAGAAGCAAAUGAAAUAGCAAAUGAAUUCACAAGGCAGCAAGAAUCUAUAAAACAAAAUCAAAAGAAUGAAAAAAUUGAGAAAAACAUGCAACACCUCAUUGAUAAAACUACAUAUCUGGAAAACAGAUCCAAAAGAGACAAUUUAAGAAUUAUUGGACUACCAGAAGAUCAUGACAAAAGAAAAAAGUCUGGACAUUAUUCUACAGGAAAUUAACCAAGAAAACUGCCCUGACAUUCUCAAACAAGAAGGAAAAGUGAAAACUGAAAGAAUCCACAUAUCACCUCCUGCAUUUAAUUCCCAAUUGACAACACCCAGGAAUGUUAUAGUCAAAUUCAAGAACUACCAGACCAAGGAAAAUACACUACAAGUUGCAAAGAAGAAGCCAUUCGGAUAUCAUGGAACCACAGUUAGAAUAACACAAGGCUUGGCUAUAUCCACACUGAAGGACUGGAAGGCAUGGAAUAUGAUAUUCCAGAAAGCAAGGGAACUGGGUCUAAAACCAAGAAUUAACUACCCAGCAAAAUUGACUAUAUUCUUACAGGGGAAAGUAUGGUCAUUUAAUAAAACAGAAGACUUCCAAGCAAUUCAUAAAGGAAAGACCUGACUUAAACAGAAAAUUUGAUGCCCAAACACAGAAUGCAAGAGAAUCACCAAAAGGAGAAGUCUUCACAUGCUUGGGAUAAACAACCCCUUAACUCACCAAUGAGUUUGUGGCCUACUGAUUACCCUCAAUUUGGCUUAUUUCAUCUUCCUUGUGGCCACUGCACAUGCUACAAAUUCCUGGAACCACAAGUGAGAGUUGAGUGCCAGGUGGAUACUAAAGAUUCGACAAUCCAGUCAUACUGUUGCUGUUCCUGGCACAAGCCUCUCUAUCUUCUCAUGCAUUUCCUCUGGCUCUCUCCCAUACCUGGAUUUCUCUCCCAUCUCAUCUCUGCCUACUGGGGGCUUCCUUCAGGUCACAGUUAAAAUCUACCAUUCCUCAGAGAUUACCUCUCAUUUACCCUCUUUGUUUUUCCAGGCUCUCUGCAAUCUUCCAACUAAUGAGGACAAGUAUAACCUUUCCCUAUCAAACCCACAUGAUCAAAAGUAAAAUAUUUGAAAGCAUUGACCACCAAAAAGUCCUUCGUGCCUCUGUAGAACACUCAGCUUCAGAAAUGAAAGAUCCAGAGAAGAUUAGAGCUAGAAGGGGCUUCAGACAUCAAUCUAAUCUCUGAACACCAACAUUUUGAAGAAAAUUGACAUACGAAAGGGAAAAUGACUUGCCUGAGGUUAUUCAUCAGAGGUAAAAUAACUGGGAUUUCAACCUAGAUUUUCCAACUACAAGUCUUGCACUGUUCCACUACACUAUAUCCUGUGAAAUUUGUCUGCUUUUUGAGCUAGAGAACUUCUAACAAGAUAACUAGCCCUUGAACAUUCUUUGUAGCUGUUCAAAGGAUAUUGUUCAAUUCUUGACUUUAAACUAAAUUACUUGCCACUGACCUGCACUCCUCAGAACUUAUUCCCUCAAUGUUUUUUCAAACCAGACAAUAAAUUAUUAAGUGUCAAUUA